AGAGCGAACGCUGGCGGCAGGCUUAACACAUGCAAGUCGAGCGGGCGUAGCAAUACGUCAGCGGCAGACGGGUGAGUAACGCGUGGGAACGUACCUUUUGGUUCGGAACAACCCAGGGAAACUUGGGCUAAUACCGGAUAAGCCCUUACGGGGAAAGAUUUAUCGCCGAAAGAUCGGCCCGCGUCUGAUUAGCUAGUUGGUGGGGUAAUGGCCCACCAAGGCGACGAUCAGUAGCUGGUCUGAGAGGAUGAUCAGCCACAUUGGGACUGAGACACGGCCCAAACUCCUACGGGAGGCAGCAGUGGGGAAUAUUGGACAAUGGGCGCAAGCCUGAUCCAGCCAUGCCGCGUGAGUGAUGAAGGCCCUAGGGUUGUAAAGCUCUUUUGUGCGGGAAGAUAAUGACGGUACCGCAAGAAUAAGCCCCGGAUAACUUCGCGCCAGCAGCCGC
rnacentral:rRNA from 1 species